rnacentral:rRNA from 2 species
GAAUACGUUCCCGGGCCUUGUACACACCGCCCGUCACACCAUGGGAGUGGGUUGCACCAGAAGUAGCUAGUCUAACCUUCGGGAGGACGGUUACCACGGUGUGAUUCAUGACUGGGGUGAAGUCGUAACAAGGUAGCCGUAGGGGAACCUGCGGCUGGAUCACCUCCUUAA